rnacentral:rRNA from 1 species
GUGGGGAAUAUUGGACAAUGGGCGAAAGCCUGAUCCAGCCAUGCCGCGUGUGUGAAGAAGGUCUUCGGAUUGUAAAGCACUUUAAGUUGGGAGGAAGGGCAGUAAGUUAAUACCUUGCUGUUUUGACGUUACCGACAGAAUAAGCACCGGCUAACUUCGUGCCAGCAGUCGCGGUAAUACGAAGGGUGCAAGCGUUAAUCGGAAUUACUGGGCGUAAAGCGCGCGAAGGUGGUUUUGUAAGUUGGAGGUGAAAUCCCCGGGCUCAACCUGGGAACUGCCUCCAAAACUGCAUGACUAAAGUACGGUAGAGGGUAGUGGAAUUUCCUGUGUAGCGGUUAAAUGCGUAGAUAUAGGAAGGAACACCAGUGGCGAAGGCGACUACCUGGACUGAUACUGACACUGAGGUGCGAAAGCGUGGGGAGCAAACAGGAUUAGAAACCCUAGUAGUCC